rnacentral:rRNA from 1 species
UACGUAGGGCGCAAGCGUUGUCCGGAAUUAUUGGGCGUAAAGAGCUCGUAGGCGGUUUGUCGCGUCUGCUGUGAAAACCUGAGGCUCAACCUCGGGCUUGCAGUGGGUACGGGCAGACUAGAGUGCGGUAGGGGUGACUGGAAUUCCUGGUGUAGCGGUGGAAUGCGCAGAUAUCAGGAGGAACACCGAUGGCGAAGGCAGGUCACUGGGCCGCAACUGACGCUGAGGAGCGAAAGCGUGGGGAGCAAACAGG